CCUCGAGCACUUCACCACCUGAAGAGCAGAACCAGACGCCUCCCACUCUUCGGACGUCGGCUUUUGGCUGCCGCUUUAGAGGACCCUGGCGAGAGUGGUGGGAAGACCCCCAGGGCGGGUGUCAGAUGCUCGGGUUCCACUCAACACUCUGCUCCUGCCAGGUAUCACAGGUCUUUUGCAGCUGCCUUGGGCCCUUAGCGCCCACGUCCCAGACUCAGACAUCUUGGCUCAGAUCUUGGAUGAACCUAGCAGCCUUGAGGACAGACAGGUGGGGAAAGAAGAAAGUCUAACUGAUGCUAAGGCCACCAGCCUGGGGAACUGGGGGAGGGAAUGGGGAGGUGGAAGAAGACAGACGGUUUGGAGGAGACGAGGAGGAAUCUGGGUUGGCACAGAGCCAGAGAGGAAGGUGUUAUGGACUACCCUUCAUCGCCUGCUCCAGAUCCGAUGUGAACCCUCGUGUUUGGUGAAGGCAAGCUCCACGUCUUGCUUAGGCCACACCCCCAACAUGCAUUCCUUCACUCAGUGUUUUCCAAGCACCCCUGUGUGCCAAGCAUUGUGUUAAGCUCUGUGGCAGAAAACAGAGAUGCCCAAGACACAGCCCAGCCACCAAGGAUGUGGUCAUGUGAAACCUUCUAUGAGUGGCAUUCUUUCACGUGCGUUCAAUUGUUUAAUUUUCAUCACAGCCUCUGUGACCUACACAUUAGCCUCAUGUUAAUAGUGACAGAAGGUAGCAUGACUAAACCCAGGGUCACAGAGCUGGUUUGGCACAAAUCUCUGGUCAGCAAGACAGGGCCACCUGGGUGAAGCAUCCACAUGCCUGAGAUUGGCAGGCGAGCACCCCACUUCCCCUGGAAGGCCUUCCAGGACUGGCUGGGAUAAGUCCCUUUCCUGUGCACCUUCAGCACUGUGCACAUCACCCUCGGGCCUCUCCUUACCCUUGACCAUGGGCUCAGUGCCCGCCAAGUGCCAGGCGCACAACCUAGUGCAGUGAUUCCUAAAUUUUUUGGUUUCAGGACCCCAAGAGCUUUUGUUUA